UUCCAUUUUCCUAAUACCAGACACAAACAAGAGAGAUGGCAAGGAUCUGCAGUGAGGACAUCGAGUGCAGUGGGCUGACCAUCCCGAAGGCUGUGCAGUACCUGAGCUCCCAGGAUGAGAAGUACCAGGCCAUUGGGGCCUAUUACAUCCAGCAUACCUGCUUCCAGGAUGAAUCUGCCAAGCAACAGGUCUAUCAGCUGGGAGGCAUCUGCAAGCUGGUGGACCUCCUCCGCAGCCCCAACCAGAACGUCCAGCAGGCCGCGGCAGGGGCUCUGCGCAACCUGGUGUUCAGGAGCACCACCAACAAGCUGGAGACCCGGAGGCAGAAUGGGAUCCGCGAGGCAGUCAGCCUCCUGAGGAGAACCGGGAACGCCGAGAUCCAGAAGCAGCUGACUGGGCUGCUCUGGAACCUGUCUUCCACUGACGAGCUGAAGGAGGAGCUCAUUGCCGACGCCCUGCCUGUUCUGGCCGACCGCGUCAUCAUUCCCUUCUCUGGCUGGUGCGAUGGCAAUAGCAACAUGUCCCGGGAAGUGGUGGACCCUGAGGUCUUCUUCAAUGCCACAGGCUGCUUGAGAAAGAGACUGGGCAUGCGGGAGCUUCUGGUUCUUGUUCCGCAAAGGGCCACUAGUAGCAGGGUGUGAGCCUUGGGAUGCAGCUGCAGAGGGACCAUUGCCACGUGGAGCCAUUGCCAGUUAUAAAGUUACUGGGCAGAGUGAAGGAGGAGAAGAACUGAGUGCAAAUGAGACCUCAUUUCAGCCUCAGCCAGGGCCAGGCGGAAUUGGCUAAAUGGUUUCUCUUUCCUUCCUUUUUCAUCUUUUCCUCUCUUCAUUCCUUUCCUCCCUUUCCUCUUCUCCUUCCUUCCUUCUACCACAACUUCCAAUCUCCACCCCGUCGUCUCCUCUCUGCCCUCCCCUCUCCUGCCUGUUCUCUC
rnacentral:sRNA from 1 species